rnacentral:rRNA from 1 species
AUAUUAAUAACCCCAAAAACACUCACAUAAACAAAUUAAACCAUUCUACCUCCUAAGUAUGGGCGACAAAAAAGAAAACACCUUUAGAGCCAUAGAAAAAGUACCGCAAGGGAACGCUGAAAAAGAAAUGAAAUAAACCAGUAAAGUUAAAAAAAGCAGAGACUUAUUCUCGUACCUUUUGCAUCAUGAAUUAGUCAGUAAAAUUAAGCAAAAAGUAUUUUAGUUUAAUACCCCGAAACUAAGGGAGCUACUCCAAGAUGGCCUAAAAGAAGGGCUAACCCGUCUCUGUGGCAAAAGAGUGGGAUGAGCUUAGAGUAGAGGUGACAGACCUACCGAACUUAGUUAUAGCUGGUUACUUAAGAAAUGGAUAAAAGUUCAGCUUUUUGAUUUCUUCCCUCUAAUUUUGCUUCAGCUUUCAACUGAUUUAAAGAAAUCAAAAAAGUUAAUUAAAAGGGGUACAGCCCUUUUAAAAAAGACACAACUUCAUCGGAUGGGUGCAGAUCAUAUUUAUUAAGGCAGAAUAUUUUAGUGGGCCUAAAAGCAGCCAUCUAUUAGAAAGCGUUAAAGCUCCUUUGUACUACCACCCAUUAAUUCAGAUAAUACAUCUAAACCCGCCAACCCUAUUAAGUCGUCUCAUAUUGUAUGAGAGUGAUUAUGCUAAUAUGAGUAAUAAGAAAACAGACUUUCUCCUUGCACUUGUGUAAAUCGAAACGGACUCUCCAUCGAACCUUAAUACGGCCCCAAAAAAAGAGGGUAAUGAACCAUAACUAUGAUAACAAGAAAAACACCCAAAAACAACCGUUAACCCCACACUGGUGUGCUUACUAGGAAAGACUAAAAGAAAAAGAAGGAACUCGGCAAACAUAAACCUCGCCUGUUUACCAAAAACACCGCCUCUUGCAAACAAAGAAUAAGAGGUCC